UUUUGUAGUAGUAGUGGAGUGUGGCAUUAAUGUUUAAUUUAAACAUUAAUUCUAUAGCAUUUGUUUCCCAAGACGCCAAGAGGCGCUGAAAACAGAUGCACAGCAAGGUAGCGUUGAAAUUUGUUGCACACCAAUAGAUGGCCAUAGAAUCGCGACGUAGAAGAAGAGAAUCAAUUAGAUUGUUUAAUGGCGUAGGUUUUCGUAGUUUUCGACGCGAUGUGUGUUAAUUAGUUGAGAAACAUUGUCGUAAUCGGAGUUCGGAACGGAUUUCCAUAAUGUACACGUGUUGUAACCGACCAGCACAAAAUUGAUAAAUUUUUUUCAUUUAUCACAAAUUGGUUAUCAACAGCAUUUCCAAUCUAUAGCAGCAGAAGCCAAGCUGUUCAGUCCACGGAAGACCAUUGUAAUUGCAGUUAAUGAGUUAUACAACAACUUUGUUGCCAAUAACAACAUGCUGCAUUUAUUUUUGUCCACAGCCAAAAUAAAAUGCAACUUCUUUCACAGGAGUAACACAUUGUGUGGUUUACUACCGGUUAGUGGUUAGCUACCAUAAUCUCCUGAUUGUUUGAGUCUGACAAUAAGCAAUACCAUAUUGUUAUUUGUUUCUUCCCUAGAUGUUAGCUUGUUGUGAUUUUAGACCACAGUAUAGAUUGAGCCUUUCUAUCUGUGUCAAACCAGUUAUAUCAACUCACUUGUUGUUGACACCCCUGGAGAUAUUACCAAACUUUCGAAAUGGUUGAAGCAGGCACCCAUGAUAUGUCGAUUCAAUUUCAGUGCUAACACUGUAAGGAUGGUAACCUGUUAUUAAGUUACACCACCUGUUUCAGUUGGCCAUAGGAUAGAUAUCCACUUCAAUGGGGAACCUAUAUGUCUAUCCCAUUUUUACACCAAAAGAGUGAUACUCUUUAAUGUUUGCAGUGUGUUUGUCACAUUCAAUGAAUCCAUAUCUUCUCAUGAUUGCAAAAAAAAAAAAACACUGGAACCCUUCUGCAUGACUUUGAACCACAAGAUAUUGAUCUUUUUUACAUUCGCCUUUUUGGUUGAACGGUAAAGAGUUUCACGGUUCACUGUUUUAUCCGAAAAUCGUAUAUCUACGAAACGUUGGCAUUAUUUGUCUAUGAACAGAUAUGCUGAUGACUGGAAUCAAUUGGAUCAGCUGAAAACAUAUGUUGAGACAUCUAUGCAACAUUGUACUUGGAUAUGUGUCAUUCCACUGGUAGUGGCUAUCAAACUUGGAAUCGCGUGUCUUCAACCGACUCACCUCAUCUAGGCCUGACCAGUAUCGGCCCGAAGAAAGUAGUCAACUAGUCGCACGUCAGAUAACAAAUCCUGCUAAGUAAACCAUAUGAUAAGGAAGUGAACAUCAAUCAUUGGAGCGUGAGUCUAAUGGUCUAAUGAAAAAUAAGGAUUCAUUUGAUUACCGACUUGACCUGCACGAGGAUUUUAGCCAUAUCGGAUAUCGGAAAGGAACACCUUUACCGAACAUAAUGUUCUUCUAACGUAAAUUAUUGGAUGUUCAUUCUAUGUCGGAUUUAGAUUUCAUUUAUAACACCAUAGAAGGAUUGCACACACUAAUGUUUUAAAGUUAAUAAACGUAAUAAAUGGAAAAUGGGGUUUCAGAAUGAGGCGGGAGUUUUUGUCAAUGCUGAAGUUUGGAAACACGAUCGGAAAUACCCAUGAAAUGAAAAACAUUCUCUCACGUUAUGGUAUUUGUCGUACAUAAAUUGAAGUGCAUAUCUGGGCUCCCUUCUUUUCUGUGGCCCCGUUUCCCCUUGA
rnacentral:lncRNA from 1 species